AACACUUGAAACAAGGACGGGAGAAGCAGACAGCCGGUCGCCACGCUGGCGGCACAGCUCGCCUUUCUCUGCCAAAUGCCCCAGGGAGCUCCAUGGACCUGUUCGGCACUUGGGCCGUGGGUUAUGAGGCACACGGAUGCAUCUUCUUCCGCAGCAGCUGGCUGCUCCCUGCACAGAGGAUGAAAACGGCGUUUACGGAGAGCAGCAGCCUCCUUGGCAGCCUUGGAGCACAGGCGAGUGACACCGGCCACACGAGCGUCCUCCUGAGUCUUCCCGCAGCUCAUGAGCCCUGAGAGGCCCUGCUGAGGCUCGGGAAAAAGCUGAAAUGUAGGAUUCAGCAAACAGAACCCCACAAGCCCCAGAACUCAGACAGGGUUUUGCCUCUAUUAGCCUCAACAGGGCUUUUUAUCUGGCAAAGUCCCUUUGCUCUUGCCCCGUUGAGAGCUGAAUAUCCACUUUGCCACGGAGAGAUGGUUUCAGCCCACUAAGCCUCAACAGGAAGCACAUGUUGCUGUAUUUACCGGCACCUCUUCCUUUGUAGCAGCCAUUUGCACGCUGCAGGGCUCUUCAGAGCACACCCAUACCCUUGCCAGCAGGCAGAAAUUUCCUGUUCCUGGAAGCAUUUGUGUGGAGAGGCAAUCUAUUUGACAUGCAUCUUCCUGGCUGCAGCAGGUCAUGGUAGCUUUUGCUCUGUUAACAUUGCCGUGGAGAGCUGUGGGCAGGGGAGAGGACAAAGCCAGGGCAACGGAAAACUUAUUCACAUUGAUGGAUGCAGUAAGAGAAUUGCACUUAGUUCAGGUAGGAAAAGCCAGUUCAUUGUGUUGCCUUUCAUCGGUGGCAGGGUGUCCACUAGAGUUCUCAUUCCUGGGCUGAUGGCACCAGGGUGGCAGCUGCUGCUCCCCUGCCCUAGCAUUAACUAUCAUUAACUUAUAAAAGCUUCCCUGAUUCUUCCAAAUGCCAUUGGCCAGCUCAGGUAUUUUUCUGAAACCUGCUUUGGAAAUGCCUGUGGCAUAAAAAGCACACAAUGAAGGCUAAAAAGCAGUAAGUCCCCAUGGAGCAGGGCAGGAGCUGGGUGUGUAGGUGUUGUGCAGCCCUGGUGCUGUCCUGCAUGCUGUUGCUGUUGAGAACUGACAUGGGAUUUGAUGCUGGCAGGAGCUGAGGUGUCCUCAGUGCCUUCAUGCAGGAGUGAAGGAGGAGAAACAGGGCCUGUGCUGUGGUCCAGCAGCACAGCCCUGCCCCAGGCACCUGGGGAACUGCUGAAAAUGCUUCCCUCUGUCAGGGCAAGGCUUGUAUUCAGCAGUGAAGGUGACAUCCUGGGAAAGGCUCACCACUGUGAUGAAGAACUCUGCAUCCCAGCACAGGGGCUGCUGCAGACCAGCUCUGCUCGAGCCUGCAGCUCUCCAGCACUGCUUGGCUCCAGUUUUCAUGAAAGCUGCUGGGUUUCUGCAGAAAGCCAAGUUUCAGGCAGGACUACAGGCAUGGCAAUACCUGGCACUGAACACCACCAUCUUCACAGUUUUUCACCUCCAGCUCCCUGCUCUGCCUGCAGUCAUGCUGUGAAAUGACCAUCCUCUGGGAUGAAGGAGGCUGCAGAUGAGAGCCCUGCCAGAGCACAGUGCUCCCAGAGUCCCAGUCUGCCCACCCAGGUCCCCAUUGUUCCUCCAUCCCAGGGCAGUGACCCCCUGCUCAGGGCUGGCAGCUGCAGCCCCUGCAAAUGGGUGACCCCUAAAGCUCCAGCACCUGGCACCAAGGACUGGCCCCAUGCUGACACAGGCUAGGAAAGAAGGAGGCUGAAAAGAAUGACAGGAAUUAUUUCAGGUCUGGAACAACCUGCCUCAACAGUGAGCGAGUGAAGAAGCCAAUCUGUUUAGUUUAUCUAAGGGAAAGUUAAGAGGGAACUUAGAUGCAUCUAUAAAUACCUACAUGUUGGGAACAUUCUGAUUGCCAAGGUCCUUCAUCCUAGCAAACAAAGGCAGCAAAAUUUCCUUGGUGCUGGGAGCUAAACCAAGAGAAGUACAGGCUAACAGUAAAAUACAGAUUUUUAAUGUGAAGGAUAAAUAAUCAUCAGGCCAGCCAGGUCAGGGACUGAGCAGAUUCCCCAUUGCAUGAAGCCUUAAAAUCAAAACUAGGUGUCUGCUGCUAAAGGAGACAUUGCAACUCAGCCAGACAUUUGGGGCUGGAUGCAAGAGCUGCUGUACUUCAUGGCCUGGGACAGUUAGGAAGAAAAUCCCUUAAAAUCACAACAGAAUCUGUUCCCAAUUGCUCAGGUUCUCACCCCCUCAUGGGUUUUACCCUAUGAUUCCCCUGUGGUGGUGUUUCCCACCCACUGGCAAAUGGAAAUCAGCAGCCAAGCUCAUCUUCUUGUCAUAUUCAGAAAACCACUGUCUCGCCCUUCAAAAACUGCUAAAGAUAUGGUGAAUGAUUGAAAAUGUAGAGAGAAACAAGAGAAAAGGAGAAAUUAAACAGUAAGAGAAAAAAAAAUGGGGUGUUACCCAUUUUAUUGCAGUCCAGAAAAAGAAGGGAAACAUUUAAAAAAGGACAGAAGAGAGGCAGUGCAAUUUUUGUAUUUAAAAUACUUUGGAAGAAUACUUAAGACUUAGCAAACAAGCAUUGUUUCAAACUUUGCCAAGAAAAACAACAUUUUCAUAUAAUUUUAAAUCUGUGGUGAGCUCCAUUCUUCCUGGCCACUUCAUCCUUCCCAAAAGUGCAUUUUGCCCUUCACUCAUCCCUAAAACUCCCCUCAAAUGCGAAGCCCAAAGGAUUUUCUUGCACCAGGUGGAGGCUGAGCUUUACGAUGCACAUCCAAAUAAAUGGUGUUUCCAAGUAAAUAAGACAGCAGAGAAAAGCUCCUGGGAAGCUGAGGAACGGACCUGCCAUUUAAGAGCUCAGAGAAAAAAAUAUGGAAAUCUGCAACGUGGGAGCGUGCCAGCGCCGGGGGCGAGAGGGACGGGCCUGGGAGGAUUUCCAGCUCCACGCAGCCUCGUUAUUCCUGCGCCACAUCCACCUGCCCUCCCAGCCCUGAGGGCUGGCACAAGUGCUAAGGCAAGGGGAUGAUUUCAGUGCUGUCCAGCCCCUGGCACAAGUGACUGCUCGAUUUUCUGGUGUGAGCAUCAGCAGAACAGCCAGGAGGACACACUACCAGCCCCAGGGGAGGGACACGCCGCGCCCGCGGUGCUGAGAGCGCGUGGCUCCGGCGCUGUCCCCUCAGUGCCAGGCAGGGUGGGAGGUGGCGUGGGGCGCACGGAGGCUCACCUGGGGCAGGGUGCUGUGAGAGCUGAGCACCAGGCUGCAGACACUGGCUGGUGCCUCUGUCCGCCGUGCUGUCACCCGCACCAGCCGUGGCGCCAUCCCCGCAGCGCUGUCCCCUGCAGCGAGCCUCUGCUCACGGUCCCAGGAGCUGCCCUGAAACGACACAAGUGGGGGGACACGUGGGCAGGGCAGGCCAGCUGCCUCCAGGCUCUCCGCUGCUUCUGGAAGGGCCAAAAGGAGCUUUCCCCCAUGCAAGGGGAAUGGUACCUUUGAUGGGCAUCCCCCCUCUCAAGGCAGCCUGCCUGGCACUGGCCCCAGGGCCAGCAGGGUCACUGCAGGCAACAGUGGAGGUUUGCUGGCCCCAGACUCUGGGACUGUGCCAUUGCUGGGUUGCAUUUCAUGUUUCAGCAACACAAGACAGCUCAAACACAUUUUUUUGGGGGAAGGAGGAGAGAUUUGAUGGUGUCAGUGGCUUGGGCUGUGUUCAGUGCCAGGAAGCCCUGCAACUGGAUGCUUUUUUCAUCCCCCUUGCAGACAGGGCACAGUGGAAGGAGCAGGGGCACCGCCCACACUACCUGUGCAAGGCCAACAGUUGCUUCCCUGCUCGUUUCCACAUUAAUUUUUCAAUGUCCUUGUUCAGUCUUGGGGAUUCAUAGACUGGCCUGGCCACAGAGACUGGUGGCUAUUGCCAGCAGAGUUCACUGUUGGGUCGAUCAAGGCUACAGCACACCCAAAAAAACCAAAGCAGGAUCCCACUGCUUAUGGCAUACCAGCAUUAAAAAUUUGUUCUUAAACACAUCCUAGAGGAGUGCAGGUUUGACUUUAACUAGAGGGACUGGCAAUGUGAAGAGGGUCAAGAAAAAAUGGGACUAUAGCAGUUCCUGAGUCAGAGGAACACAAAUAUCUCCUGCAGUGCUUGUGGGCUGUUUUGUCCUCCUUGUUCUUGAUCCCCAAACGCCUUUAAAGUGUUCUUUCUCAGAUGAUAUCAUUCAGCUCCAUCUUCCCUGUGUGACACUUAAAUUUGGAGUACCCCCAGGUAUAUGAUGGGAAGCCAGUUCAGUCUCUGAGGCAGAAAAUGGUGUUUAUCUGAUAAGGUUAUUUCACUGAAAGGAGGAAUCCCUGAAUUUUUGCAUUUCUGCACAAGUGUAUCCCUAGAUUAGGGUGAUCCUACAGCAUCCCAUGUCAGGGCAGUGAGUGGGGGAUGGAAAGAAGGCCUGCAAAGACAUGAGGCAAUUUUAUUUACCUUGGUGCCUUUGAGAUAACUGAGACCCUACUGCUCAAUUCCUGCCUCUCCACCUGGUAUCUUUUAGAACGCUGUUGAAAAUUGAAGAGAAUGCAAAUAAGAGAGACACAAGUUAUCUGAAAGCUGGGAAAAAAUCCUGAAAAGGGAAACUUGAAAGACUUAGCCUACUUCAUUUAUCAAAAGUGGCUGGAUCAGAGAGCUGAAACACCUCCAUGGGAGACAGUGUCAGACAGGAGCAAAUAAUCCAGCUGCAACUGCAGAGCAGGAGCCAGAGCCGGAGCUGUUCACAUUACAAGUUAUUCAAUUAACACUUGUGAACCAGAGAGGUUGCCUCAUUAAUGAGACAAGCUAUCACAGAGAAUGUGUGGGAACAGCCUGGAUGUGAUCUGGGCAGGCUGUGGUGGCCAGCAGCCCCUGUGCCCCUUGAGUCCCUCUCAGCACAGGAGUGUGCAGGGUUUGGCCCUGCAGCACCAUGACGGUGGCUCUUACCUCAGGCAGGUUUUGGGGCUCUGUGGGUGUGACUGUGGAGCUGGGCUCACUGCCCCCAAGCUGCUGCCUGGCUGUGCCAUGAUGUGCAUCCAGGCUCGGAGACUGCUCGGGUGCAGAGCGCAGCGUGAAAUCGUAGAAUUCAUGGAUAUCUGCAAAACAGCAGGAGAAACAUCCUCAGGACCAGGGGGCAGCCUGAUGCCUGAAAGCAGCCUCUGUGGGGUGCAGCACCUGUGACCUCCACUCUGCCCCCAGGGUCUGAGCCCUCUGUGAGAGGGCUCUGCUGUCCCCCUGUGCUUGCUGUGUUGCCCACCACACCCCCUGUGCAAGGCAGGAGGUGGAGUGGGGUGCCUGGCUCACUGUGCAGUGCCCAUGGCUCUGGAAGGCGUGGGAUUGUCCACAGAGCAGUGACCACACAGUCCACAGGGACUAAGAGCAAACUGUGCUCAGCAGCAUCAAUCCAACACCCAGCCCAUCCUGCUCUCCCCCAGGCUGUGCCAGCCCCAGGCAUGGCCCCCUGUCCCUGCUGCUCUGACAAGCCUCCUGCACCAGGCAGCCCCUGCCCUGACACCGAUGGGCUAUUCCCUCCCCAUCACAGCCCCCCACCAACCUAUGGAGGGGCUCCCUUCCCAGGGGACAGGCAGAGAAGCCACAGGGCACUCAGUGCACAAGCUCUAAAGCUGAUGACUACAGCUCUGUUAACCCCAGCUCCCUCCCUGAUAUCUCCCCUCUUCCACCUGCAUGCUGCCACAACAGGUAUCAAGCACCCUCAUUCUGGGCUCCAAGGACCUGAGUCAGCUGCUGUAAACCACAGUGGCUCUAGAGAGAGGCAUGAAAAUGGGGUAUGCCAGCCCUCACUGCUCCAGAGACACUUAUGGGGUGAGACUGGGAUCUGAGAGCAGCUGCCCGGGUAUAGCUCCAGAGGUGGGAACCCAGCCAGGAGGAUUUUACCUUCUCCAGGUCACACACAGAGGAUUCCAGGGAGCAGAAGGGCUGCAGUGGGCUCUGCUCCUCCCUAAGGAAGCUCCCACUGCUGCACACUCAGGCAGCUGCUGGCCCCUGGCAGUCCCCAGUUAUCUCCAGAGCCAGCACCUCCAGAGUGGUCAACAUAUCCACUGCAGAAGUGUUUUAAUUUCAAAAAGGAAACUACAUCAGAGGUGAGAACUUGUUUUUAUGAAGAAACUGAAAGGGGUAACAAAAACUUGUGGGAGGCUCUCAGCCUGUUUAGAGAGACCCACUGGGACAUCAGAACAGACAUGGAGUGUCUGGCUGGAGGAUACUGUAAAGGCAAAAGGGAGGAAAGCAAGGCUUGACUGCAGAGGAAAAGAAGCUAUUGAAAAUGAGAAGACAUUUAUCUAAGCUGCUGAAGCUGCAUCUAAAUGAGAAAACCAGAAUGGAUGGUAAAUGCUGUCAGGUUAAAGGUAAAGCUCCAAGAGGUCAGCCAAAAGAGUUUGGUAAACGCCUUCCAAAAGCCAUAAAAAAAGUCAUAAAUCCCUUCAAGCACCUGGGAAACAGGAAGCCUGGCAGAGCCUGCAGGGCCAAAAAGUCAAGGCAGCAUAAAUGAGCACUUGAAGCAGGAAAAGACACAGCAGGAACCUGAGAUUAUUUUCUGUACCUGCAUCUGCUGUGGAGGAAGCUGGAGAGCUCCACUUCUGUGAGUGACUGGAGGGGCAAACUGUGGCUCUCACUGGAAGGGGAUGUGGCAGCUCCCAUGGCACUCCCUGGGAGCUCAGGGAUGAAGCACCUGCACUUGCCCUCCAGUCUGUGAUUUCUCACCUGAAACUAUGCCACAGCCUGGCAUCACAAGGUAUUAAACACCCACAUCACAAAGAUUUCACCAGGAAAUCCGGUGAGCAUUGGCAGUGCAAGCAGGGACAUGCUGGCCACUGCCUGAGGCUGGUCCCUGGCUGCAGCAGGAUGCUCUGCCUAAGCAGGGACACAGCAGCUGGAAAUUUGUCUUACAGGUUCAUCAGUGAAGGCCUGAGAGAGGAGGGUCUGCUAAGCAGUGUAAGAUCAAGUGAGGAGGGUCUGCUGUUUUUAGUGCUGAAAAAUACUGAGACCAGCUUGACCAAACUGUCAGACCCCACCAUGAGGACAGGCAAGACAUGCUCCCUGACUGGAGCUGGGAGCAGCAAGGAUGUGCACUCGGAUAUGGAAGUGAGAGUCAGGAGUGGUGAGAAGAAGAAAUGAAAGAGCUGCUCGCACCUUUUUCAGCACAAAGCAUAUUUUGCUGACUAAUAAUCUAAAAAAUGCACAUGACUGACAGUCAAUCACUUUAUACUAUAAAAGGCCAGUCACACUUUUUGCACAGUGAGGACUUCUAUCAUACCUCCCUAAGCUGUGUGAAGAUCCUUCCCUUGAGUGGGGACACCCCUCAAGGUCACUCCUCGAGGCUGAGUCAAAGAGAUUUGCCCUUGGUCAUUAGUAUGGAUGAGUGACAUCAAUCUCUACUUAGUAGUUGUUUAGCUAGCUUUAAUAUAGUUUCAAAAACAGUGCACUACACUAGUAGUUAUAGCUAUCCAUAUUGUUUAGUAAAUAAUUCUGAUUAA